GCGAGUGGCGGACGGGUGAGUAAAGCAUAGGAAUCUGCCCUGUAGUGGGGGAUAACUUGGGGAAACCUGAGCUAAUACCGCAUAUCUUCUGAGGAAGAAAGUUAGGGGUAACUCUGACNNNNUGGGAUGAGCCUAUGUCUGAUUAGCUAGUUGGUUAGGUAAAGGCUGACCAAGGCUAUGAUCGGUAACUGGUCUGAGAGGACGGACAGUCACACUGGGACUGAGACACGGCCCAGACUCCUACGGGAGGCAGCAGUGGGGAAUAUUGGACAAUGGGGGCAACCCUGAUCCAGCGAUGCCGCGUGUGUGAAGAAGGCCUGCGGGUUGUAAAGCACUUUUAUUGGGGAAGAGUGGUGUGAGGAUGAAUAGUCUUCAUACUUGACGGUACCCAAGGAAUAAGCACCGGCUAACUCUGUGCCAGCAGCCGCGGUAAUACAGAGGGUGCGAGCGUUAAUCGGAAUUACUGGGCGUAAAGGGCGCGUAGGCGGGCUGAUAAGUCAGAUGUGAAAGUCCUGGGCUUAACCUGGGGAUUGCAUUUGAAACUGUUGGUCUGGAGUGAAGUAGAGGGUGGCGGAAUUUCCGGUGUAGCGGUGAAAUGCGUAGAUAUCGGAAGGAACACCAGUGGCGAAGGCGGCCACCUGGACUUUAACUGACGCUGAGGCGCGAAAGCGUGNGGAGCGAACAGGAUUAGAUACCCUGGUAGU
rnacentral:rRNA from 1 species